rnacentral:lncRNA from 1 species
AUGUGGCUAGAAUGUGUUUGCCAUUGGAAUUGGAGCUGUUGGAUGGAGAAUGUCACCAGUAAGAGAGGGGAGCAGCCUUGGGCUGGACAGUUUUCAGACUGGAUUAAAAGAGAGCUCCUCCCUCAGCAGUUACACUUGUUUCAAUCAUACCCUGUUUGUCUUCAAAGGCAGCUGGGAUUAGGAGCCUAACACAUGCAAAGAGAGGUCCGGGAUAAGAAAUGGGCAAUGAAAAACAGCCACGGACAUUCAUGAAGAGUAAGUCAGCCUUCAGCCCCAGAUGUGUUCAUCUUGCCUUACAAAUAUUAAACGUAAUCCAGUAUCAGCUGUUGCACAGGGCUGGGGUAGGUUUGCCCCCAGAGAAUGAGCACAGGCAGAAACAUUAGCAGAACAAACUGAUAUCUGCAGCACAUUCCUGGAUGUGUUAAUAAAAGAGCUGCAGGGUAAAGCUCA